GGGUGUAGCUCAGCUGGGAGAGCGCCUGCUUUGCAAGCAGGAUGUCAUCGGUUCGAUCCCGUUCACCUCCACCACCACC
rnacentral:tRNA from 1 species